rnacentral:misc_RNA from 1 species
GGCAGCUACAACAAACUGUUUAGAAUCACUUAUGACUUGACUCACGUUCUUCUCGUUGAUGACUCGAAAUCUUUCCUCGGGGAAAGAAGUUCACAAAUUACGUCAAUGUGCUUUAAGUUAGUGAUGGCAGUGAUCGUUAAGGAGAUUAUCACAAGGAGUUGGAAUGAGAGGCACUCUCUCACAUUUUUCUAAGAUGGUUUCUCUGGGUACAUAAAUGAGUCGAUUUCAC